rnacentral:rRNA from 1 species
UACGGAGGAUUCGAGCGUUAUCCGGAUUUAUUGGGUUUAAAGGGUCCGUAGGCGGGCGAUUAAGUCAGUGGUGAAAUCUCACAGCUCAACUGUGAAACUGCCAUUGAUACUGGUUGUCUUGAAUCGUUGUGAAGUGGCUAGAAUAUGUGGUGUAGCGGUGAAAUGCUUAGAUAUCACAUAGAAUACCAAUUGCGAAGGCAGAUCACUAACAAUAUAUUGACGCUGAGGGACGAAAGCGUGGGGAGCGAACAGG